UAACGAUACGGGACUCAUCCGAGGCCCCGUAAUCGGAAUGAGUACACUUUAAAUCCUUUAACGAGGACCCAUUGGAGGGCAAGUCUGGUGCCAGCAGCCGCGGUAAUUCCAGCUCCAAUAGCGUAUAUUAAAGUUGUUGCGGUUAAAAAGCUCGUAGUUGAAUUUGUGUGCCACGCUGUCGGUUCAUCGCUCGCGAUGUUUAACUGACAUGAUUGUGGUACGUCCUACCGGUGGGCUUAGCUCCUCUCGAGGGGCGGUCCAGCUAAUAUCCCAUCGCGGUGCUCUUUAUCGAGUGUCGAGGUGGGCCGGUACGUUUACUUUGAACAAAUUAGAGUGCUCAAAGCAGGCUAUGCUCGCCUGAAUACAUGUGCAUGGAAUAAUGGAAUAGGACCUCGGUUCUAUUUUGUUGGUUUUCGGAACCCCGAGGUAAUGAUUAAUAGGGACAGAUGGGGGCAUUCGUAUUGCGACGUUAGAGGUGAAAUUCUUGGAUCGUCGCAAGACGAACAGAAGCGAAAGCAUUUGCCAAAAAUGUUUUCAUUAAUCAAGAACGAAAGUUAGAGGUUCGAAGGCGAUCAGAUACCGCCCUAGUUCUAACCAUAAACGAUGCCAGCUAGCGAUCCGCCGAAGUUCCUCCGAUGACUCGGCGGGCAGCUUCCGGGAAACCAAAGCUUUUGGGUUCCGGGGGAAGUAUGGUUGCAAAGCUGAAACUUAAAGGAAUUGACGGAAGGGCACCACCAGGAGUGGAGCCUGCGGCUUAAUUUGACUCAACAC
rnacentral:rRNA from 1 species